UACGAACCGUGCGAACGUUGUUCGGAAUCACUGGGCUUAAAGGGCGCGUAGGCGGGCCUUCAAGUCCGGGGUGAAAUCCUCCCGCUUAACGGGAGAAGAGCCUCGGAGACUGAGGGCCUCGAGGAGGGUAGGGGCAAGCGGAACUAUGGGUGGAGCGGUGAAAUGCAUUGAUAUCCAUAGGAACUCCGGUGGCGAAGGCGGCUUGCUGGACCCUUUCUGACGCUGAGGCGCGAAAGCCAGGGGAGCAAACGGG
rnacentral:rRNA from 1 species